rnacentral:rRNA from 1 species
AGAGCUUGCUUUCUCGAGCGAGUGGCGAACGGGUGAGUAACGCGUGAGGAACCUGCCUCAAAGAGGGGGACAACAGUUGGAAACGACUGCUAAUACCGCAUAAGCCCACAGGUCGGCAUCGACCAGGGGGAAAAGGAGCAAUCCGCUUUGAGAUGGCCUCGCGUCCGAUUAGCUAGUUGGUGAGGUAAUGGCCCACCAAGGCAACGAUCGGUAGCCGGACUGAGAGGUUGAACGGCCACAUUGGGACUGAGACACGGCCCAGACUCCUACGGGAGGCAGCAGUGGGGAAUAUUGCACAAUGGGGGAAACCCUGAUGCAGCGACGCCGCGUGGAGGAAGAAGGUCUUCGGAUUGUAAACUCCUGUUGUUGAGGAAGAUAAUGACGGUACUCAACAAGGAAGUGACGGCUAACUACGUGCCAGCAGCCGCGGUAAAACGUAGGUCACAAGCGUUGUCCGGAAUUACUGGGUGUAAAGGGAGCGCAGGCGGGAAGACAAGUUGGAAGUGAAAUCUAUGGGCUCAACCCAUAAACUGCUUUCAAAACUGUUUUUCUUGAGUAGUGCAGAGGUAGGCGGAAUUCCCGGUGUAGCGGUGGAAUGCGUAGAUAUCGGGAGGAACACCAGUGGCGAAGGCGGCCUACUGGGCACCAACU